UACAGAGGAGCCAAGCGUUGUCCGGAAUUACUGGGCGUAAAGCGCACGUAGGCGGCUUCUUAAGUCGGUGGUGAAAUCCUGGAGCUCAACUCCAGAACUGCCUUCGAUACUGGGAAGCUCGAGUCCGGGAGAGGUGAGUGGAACUGCGAGUGUAGAGGUGAAAUUCGUAGAUAUUCGGAAGAACACCAGUGGCGAAGGCGGCAUCCUGGACCGGUAUUGACGCUGAGGCGCGAAAGCCAGGGGAGCAAACGGG
rnacentral:rRNA from 1 species